rnacentral:rRNA from 1 species
AGCCUGCCCAGUGACUCUGUUCAACGGCCGCGGUAUCCUAACCGUGCGAAGGUAGCGUAAUCACUUGUUCUUUAAAUGAGGACUAGUAUGAAUGGCACCACGAAGGUUAUACUGUCUCUUCUUUCCAAUCAGUGAAACUAAUCUCCCCGUGAAGAAGCGGGGAUGAAAAUAUAAGACGAGAAGACCCUAUGGAGCUUUAAACCACGCAACACCUGCUUUGACUUAACNUAAAUUUCAGAAAACCCCUCUCCACCCUAGCAGAAUGAUUGCCAGUUUUAGGUUGGGGUGACCGCGGAGCAAAAACCAACCUCCACAUUGAAAGGGCACCUGCCCCUUAGCCAAGAGCCACACCUCCACGCACCAAUAAAAUGACAUUAAUUGACCCAAUAUAUUGAUCAACGAACCAAGUUACCCUAGGGAUAACAGCGCAAUCCACUUCAAGAGCCCCUAUCGACAAGUGGGUUUACGACCUCGAUGUUGGAUCANGGUAUCCCGGUGGUGCAGCCGCUACCAAAGGUUCGUUUG